AUUGAACGCUGGCGGCAUGCCUUACACAUGCAGGUCGAACGGUAACAGGUCUUCGGAUGCUGACGAGUGGCGAACGGGUGAGUAAUACAUCGGAACGUGCCCGAUCGUGGGGGAUAACGGAGCGAAAGCUUUGCUAAUACCGCAUACGAUCUACGGAUGAAAGCAGGGGACCGCAAGGCCUUGCGCGGACGGAGCGGCCGAUGGCAGAUUAGGUAGUUGGUGGGAUAAAAGCUUACCAAGCCGACGAUCUGUAGCUGGUCUGAGAGGACGACCAGCCACACUGGGACUGAGACACGGCCCAGACUCCUACGGGAGGCAGCAGUGGGGAAUUUUGGACAAUGGGCGAAAGCCUGAUCCAGCCAUGCCGCGUGCAGGAUGAAGGCCUUCGGGUUGUAAACUGCUUUUGUACGGAACGAAAAGACUCUUUCUAAUAAAGAGGGUCCAUGACGGUACCGUAAGAAUAAGCACCGGCUAACUACGUG
rnacentral:rRNA from 1 species